rnacentral:rRNA from 1 species
GGCGGCAGGCUUAACACAUGCAAGUCGAGCGGGCGUAGCAAUACGUCAGCGGCAGACGGGUGAGUAACGCGUGGGAACGUACCUUUUGGUUCGGAACAACACAGGGAAACUUGUGCUAAUACCGGAUAAGCCCUUACGGGGAAAGAUUUAUCGCCGAAAGAUCGGCCCGCGUCUGAUUAGCUAGUUGGUGAGGUAAUGGCUCACCAAGGCGACGAUCAGUAGCUGGUCUGAGAGGAUGAUCAGCCACAUUGGGACUGAGACACGGCCCAAACUCCUACGGGAGGCAGCAGUGGGGAAUAUUGGACAAUGGGCGCAAGCCUGAUCCAGCCAUGCCGCGUGAGUGAUGAAGGCCCUAGGGUUGUAAAGCUCUUUUGUGCGGGAAGAUAAUGACGGUACCGCAAGAAUAAGCCCCGGCUAACUUCGUGCCAGCAGCCGCGGUAAUACGAAGG